UACAGAGGUCUCAAGCGUUGUUCGGAUUCAUUGGGCGUAAAGGGUGCGUAGGCGGCGCGGGUAAGUCGGGGUGUGAAAUCUCGGGAGCUUUAACUCCGCAAACUGACAUUUCGAUACUGCCGUGCUUGAGGACUGGAGAGGAGACUGGAAUUUACGGUGUAGCGGUGAAAUGCGUAGAGAUCAUGAGGAAGACCAGUGGCGAAGGCGGGUCUCUGGACAGUUCCUGACACUGAGACACGAAGGCCAGGGGAGCAACGGG
rnacentral:rRNA from 1 species